rnacentral:rRNA from 1 species
GAUUAACGCUGGCGGUGUGCCUAAUACAUGCAAGUCGAACGGACUCUUUAGCAAUCAUCUCUCUGCAGUGAGGCGAGGGGGUGCUAAUUUUUUGAUGACUUAACCGUCAGUACAAAAAUUAGUCGCCCCUGAUAAUCACUGUCUUUCGAUGAUGGCGACGAGAGUUAGUGGCGGACGGGUGAGUAACACGUUGGUACCUGCCCAAAGUGGGAAUAACUGCCCGAAGGGUGGCUAAUACCGCAUGUGAUCUUCGGA